rnacentral:rRNA from 1 species
GACGAACGCUGGCGGCGUGCUUAACACAUGCAAGUCGAGCGGUAAGGCUCCUUCGGGAGUACACGAGCGGCGAACGGGUGAGUAACACGUGAGCAAUCUGCCCUUCACUUUGGGAUAACUCCGGAAACGGAAGCUAAUACCGAAUACGACCACUUCAGGCAUCUGAUGGUGGUGGAAAGUUCCGGCGGUGAAGGAUGAGCUCGCGGCCUAUCAGCUUGUUGGUGAGGUAACGGCUCACCAAGGCUUCGACGGGUAGCCGGCCUGAGAGGGUGACCGGCCACACUGGGACUGAGACACGGCCCAGACUCCUACGGGAGGCAGCAGUGGGGAAUAUUGGACAAUGGGCGAAAGCCUGAUCCAGCAACGCCGCGUGAGGGAUGACUGCCUUCGGGUUGUAAACCUCUUUCAGCGGGGACGAAGCGAAAGUGACGGUACCCGCAGAAGAAGCACCGGCCAACUACGUGCCAGCCGCCGCGGUAAUAC